AUGAACGCUAGCGACAGGCCUAACACAUGCAAGUCGAGGGGCAGCACAAGGAGCAAUCUGAGGUGGCGACCGGCGCACGGGUGAGUAACACGUAUGCAACCUGCCUGUAAGCGGGGAAUAACCCGUUGAAAGACGGACUAAUACCGCAUAAUACUAAAUUACUGCAUGGUAAUUUAUUUAAACAUUUAUGGCUUACAGAUGGGCAUGCGCAUGAUUAGCUAGUUGGAGAGGUAACGGCUCCCCAAGGCAACGAUCAUUAGGGGUUCUGAGAGGAAGGUCCCCACACUGGUACUGAGACACGGACCAGACUCCUACGGGAGGCAGCAGUGAGGAAUAUUGGUCAAUGGACGAGAGUCUGAACCAGCCAAGUCGCGUGCAGGAAGAAUGUCCUAUGGAUUGUAAACUGCUUUUGCAGGGGAAUAAAGUGCAUCACGUGUGAUGUUCUGUAUGUACUCUGCGAAUAAGGAUCGGCUAACUCCGUGCCAGCAGCCGC
rnacentral:rRNA from 1 species